AGAGUUUGAUCCUGGCUCAGAACGAACGCUGGCGGCAUGCCUAACACAUGCAAGUCGAACGAUCCCUUCGGGGAUAGUGGCGCACGGGUGCGUAACGCGUGGGAACCUGCCCUUAGGUUCGGAAUAACUCAGAGAAAUUUGAGCUAAUACCGGAUAAUGUCCUCGGACCAAAGAUUUAUCGCCUUUGGAUGGGCCCGCGUUGGAUUAGCUAGUUGGUGGGGUAAAGGCCUGCCAAGGCGACGAUCCAUAGCUGGUCUGAGAGGAUGAUCAGCCACACUGGGACUGAGACACGGCCCAGACUCCUACGGGAGGCAGCAGUGGGGAAUAUUGGACAAUGGGCGAAAGCCUGAUCCAGCAAUGCCGCGUGAGUGAUGGGGGCCUUAGGGUUGUAAAGCUCUUUUACCCGGGAUGAUAAUGACAGACCGGGAGAAUAAG
rnacentral:rRNA from 1 species